UGUCCCUACGGGAGGCAGCAGUGAGGAAUAUUGGUCAAUGGGCGGGAGCCUGAACCAGCCAAGUCGCGUGAGGGAUGACGGCCCUAUGGGUUGUAAACCUCUUUUGCCGGGGAGCAAAGUGCCGCACGUGUGCGGUUUGGAGAGUACCCGGAGAAAAAGCAUCGGCUAACUCCGUGCCAGCAGCCGCGGUAAUACGGAGGAUGCGAGCGUUAUCCGGAUUUAUUGGGUUUAAAGGGUGCGCAGGCGGAGGUGCAAGUCAGCGGUCAAAUUGCGGGGCUCAACCCCGUACUGCCGUUGAAACUGCA
rnacentral:rRNA from 1 species